GGCAUAGCUCAGUGAUAGAGCAUCUGCCUUGCAUGCAGAAAGUCCCACAUUCAAUCCCAGUAGCAUCUCCA